UUGUACUGAAACCAGUACCAUACAGAACCUUCAAUGGGGGAAAAGAAUAUAGGAAAAAGAUAUGAAGGAUCUUGGUGUUGUAUGAAAUUAAUAUAAAUAUAUAACUCAUAGUUGGCACAUCCAUAUUAAGGUAGGACAUGGAGUAAAAGUGUAGUUUCUGACUUCCAGAAGCUCCCUUGCAUGUCUGUGGUGUCAUUAUGUCAGGUCACAUGACCCAGACUGUCCAAUCAAAAGCAAACUAGGUGAAACAUCAUAGGCGGUAAGGCUCUGAUGCCUUCCUGAAUUCAAGUCCUCUCCUUGACUGGCCUUAAUUUCUUUGGUCCAAUUAUAUGUAGGAUGGGCCCCUGGCCACUUGUAAAGUGGUUCAGGCAGAUUGGGAAUAUAGGACUGGAUGAAUCAGCAGUACAGCUUUAGUGUUCAACAAGGAUCUCAUGAGACUGUCUGCCCCACAUUCUUUCACUACUGGAGCCUUUGUCUCAGGAAACACUCUGUCUGGGACCCAAGAUAGCCAUGAAUAAUAACACCUGAUGAAUUUUGAAGAAAGAGAAGACCUACACAUGGCAGAAAUGGAGAUCAAUGUAUUCUAGGAUUGAGAGAUGGUAUAUGUGUAUAGAGGCA